rnacentral:rRNA from 2 species
CGCUGGCGGCAGGCUUACACAAUGCAAGUCGGAGCGCCCCGCAAGNNGGGAGCGGCAGACGGGUGAGUAACGCGUGGGAAUCUACCUUUUGCUACGGAAUAACGCAGGGAAACUUGUGCUAAUACCGUAUGUGUCCUUCGGGGGAAAGAUUUAUCGGCAAGAGAUGAGCCCGCGUUGGAUUAGCUAGUUGGUGGGGUAAAGGCCUACCAAGGCGACGAUCCAUAGCUGGUCUGAGAGGAUGAUCAGCCACAUUGGGACUGAGACACGGCCCAAACUCCUACGGGAGGCAGCAGUGGGGAAUAUUGGACAAUGGGCGCAAGCCUGAUCCAGCCAUGCCGCGUGAGUGAUGAAGGCCCUAGGGUUGUAAAGCUCUUUCACCGGAGAAGAUAAUGACGGUAUCCGGAGAAGAAGCCCCGGCUAACUUCGUGCCAGCCGCCGCGGUAA